rnacentral:rRNA from 1 species
GACGAAGGUGGCGAGCGUUGUUCGGAAUCACUGGGCUUAAAGCGCAUGGCGGCGGCCUGUCAAGUGUCUUGUGAAAUCCCCCGGCUCAACCGGGGAAUUGCUGGGCAAACUGAUGGGCUUGAGGCAGGUAGGGGCGAGUGGAACUCUUGGUGGAGCGGUGGAAUGCGUAGAUAUCAAGAGGAACGCCGGAGGUGAAGACGACGCGCUGGGCCUGUCCUGACGCUGAGAUGCGAAAGCCAGGGGAGCAAACGGG